CAUGGAGCUGCCUAAAUGCAUAGUUUGCUUAUUUGCAGUCUCACUCCUUUGGUUUCGUGUUUUCUAAUUCAGUUAUGGAGAAAACUGCAGUAGUAAGCAGGAAUUUGAUCAUGAGAGUACUGUAGAUGAAUCUUGCAUGUUCACAUUACUGAAUGGUUGUCUUAAAUGAAAAGGAAGCCAGUGCUGUCUGUACUGUAAUAGUUGAAAUGUACUCAACAUAGCUAGUUUCUGCUAAGAAAGGCGAUGACCUUUCUGUUUAUUCACUAAAAUAUAGAACUUAUAGGUUACUAAUAGCCAAUAUCAAAGUACAGUAUUAGUUUGGUGGGUUGUUGAAUAUGCCUGUCCAGGGCUAGAAGCCGUUCUUGAAAAAGUAAAAUCAGAAGAAAAGGUACAAGAGCACUUGCAGUGUGAUUUCUAAGACUCCCAGUUGCAAAAUAAUCCUGAUCUUUCUUUAAGAAGUUCUCUUCAAUUGCUCUGGUUGCACUGCACGUUAGUCUGAGUUUUGCAAUCAGUUUGUGCUGUAAGUUAGAGCCAUUAAUUUUGGUAAUACAUAGAGAAGAUACAAGUAUGUUCAAGAGUUUUGAAUCUCUAAUUAUUGUGGUAUGGGUAAAUACAUGUUUGGAUCUAGGUAGAAAAGUACUUCAGAGAUUUCAAAGUCGAGUGAAUUUUUUUAGAGAUUAUUUAAGCAUUACUUUGUUUACAUGGAACACUUCAUGAAUAAACUGACAUCCAUGAUGACGCUAAAUGUCUUCAAAAUACUUGUUGUACUGUG